rnacentral:lncRNA from 1 species
AUCUGUUUCUGAUUUAUUAACAUUUGAUUCCCUGGUUUCCUGCCAUUGAUCAAGACUAAUACUCAGCUCAGCUGAUGAGUUUUAUAUGAAAUCUGAUAUUGCAGGAAGAAAGAAAAGAACAAAACAUUUGACUCUUGGGAAAAGCAAGACCAGUGCCCUCUGAUGCCUUUAUGCAUUAUGAGAUUUGGACCUGACUACAGAUGAUUAUACACUGAUAAAUACUGCCACCAAUGCUCCAGUUAUACUGCUGGUCCACCCAGUCAUGUUCAACACUGAGGAAAGUCUGAACACUGAAAUACUCCCUCUCUGCUGGGUGUUGGAAAAACUAGAAUAAGACAGCAGCAUCCCACCACCAGCCAUGGGGUUGUCUUUAAAACGAGACUGGACUGAGUGGUACCAUGGGCCAAAGAUCCUUCCUGCUCGUAGCAUUCUCACAGCUGGGUGAGAAGAGAUCUGGGAACACUCUGGCUGUGCACUGGUUGUAUCAUCUCUGGUGCUCUGGAAAUCCACAGCUGUGAUCUUCCAGCAGAUUCUGUCUGUGACACACUGGCUCAAGGGAUGUCCAAGUCAUACAGAUUGGUGCAGCCUUCUCCAGAAGAAACUGAGUAUCCCACCUAUGGAUGCCUUACAGAUCAUAUCAAGGACAGUCUACUGGAAGUGAACAUCGUUUUAGGCAAGAGAGGUAGUAAUCUAGAUCUCAUGUGCUUCAAGGAAAUGCUUAAAUUUCCUUUUAGGAAGGAAAUGUGUGCUUG